CGUGUUGUGGUAUUCUAUCACAACGUGCAAUUUUACCCGGAAGAUCUACCAAGAACAUUGGUUUCCUCGUUCCCGGCGAACCCUCUCUACUUUACGUUGGAUUCCGACAUUCGCUACCAACCCAGUCUUGUCCCGGCUUGGGCUAUUAGCCGUUUCCACCUUGACAUUGGGACUUUUAAGUUGCCAACAAGAGUGCCUACAUAUCACAACCUAAUUGUGUUUUUCUCCUAUCGUUUUCCUCCUUGCCAGGAUGCUGGUGGGCUCAUUACCAUUGGCGAUGUGACUCUAGAUCCCCACUCAACCUCCAACGCUCCUAUGUGAUCCCUGUACCUUUUAGAAAACCAGUUUUUCUGAUGCGAAUUACUGUCCCAGUUGGGGUUCAUCUUUUUCGUUACCGUCAUCUUUAUGUACCAUACCGUAAGUGCCGUACGUUACCGGAAUCUUUAAGUAGUAUGUGCAAUCUCAGUACUUCAAACACAUUCGUAACUACAACAAGAGGGGACAGGAUGAUGUGAAGCUCACCUAACCUUAAAAUACAGAGGGGUGUUUUAGGCUGAGGCGCUUUAAAACCAGUUGCCUUCAUCGUUUAAAGCAGAACUAGCUAGUAAAACCUCCCACAAAAAAAUUGAGAGGCUACUUAAAAAGGAAGUGCUUCUAUCCAAUUCUAGAAUAUGAAAACUUUAACUGUAAACUUAAGCUAGGGUAAAACUGUCUUGUUUUUCCGUAUGCAUGCAAUGAUAAUAUUCAACUAUUACCAUUUCUGUUAAUAUUAGAUUAUGACUCUUUCUAGUACUGUAAAAGAAUUUGACAUGUGUGAUAGCCGAGUCUUGAGUACCAGAAUUGUUAACGCAUUAACUGCUGUGGUUUGCCUUGUUAUAACUGCGGUUGCAGCAAGUUGAUGGGCAUGAAAAACUUGCAAGUAUGAUAGAUAUCGCUCAAGGUAGCUGUAGCGUCAUUUCUCAGAUGCGGGUGUAACAUAAAGUUCACAUGUGCUUUCUCCACUCAACAGUGAUGAUUUGAGAAUGGCUUUCGCAAGUGUCGGUUCCAAGGUACCAGCAAGGCAGUUAACAUGUUAAAUAUAAAUAAAUAAAAUAAAAAUCCUGUAAUACUCAGGAUUAUAACAAAAAUCGCAUGUGUUCCUAUGAGUGAACUGAUGGAUUGUUCUACCGCAAAACUUGUUCUUUUGAUAUCCAAUAAAUCAAGUUUCUAUUGUAUCCGGAAACCUAAUAAGUACAUCAAAAUAAUGAAUAUAGAGACUAUUUCAAAAUUUUGGCACUUACAAUGGUAGAUACAAUGAUACAUAACAGGAACAGAGGAAAUACUCACAGAUCAUCAGAGGCUUUAAAAUCCAAGAAACAAAGAGCUAUUUUCAAGCAUCGCAAGAAUUCAGGCGAUAGAUUACCAUUGAUAAUCCUGUCCAUAGCAUCGAUAUGGAAAUGGUAGAAUCCAAGGCUGAUCUGAAUGUCUUCUUUUGUUACUUUUUUGCUAAUUCAGCAAACACAGCCUAGAAAUAUGUUUUCAAUUUAAUGAUAAAUUAAGAGUUUUCACCUCAAAAUUUUGGUACAAAUAUUUCUUUAGCUCACAUUUCUAUCAAUGAUUAAUGACUGAUGUGUUUUUCCAAGAUCCAGUUUCAUUGCACUGAAAACUGAGAAAUUGUGUGCAAUCUUUUUCUUCUUAAAGUAAGAGUGGCACUGCAAAGUUGGGUAAACUUGUUGAAAGAAAUUUAUUCUAUGCUAUUUUCCAACCCAGCAAGUUACUUGAUAUCCACUAUUGGAGAUGCAUUUUAAAAAUCCACACUUGAGCAAAAUUGGCAAAAGUUAAGAAGUUCUUUGAUUUUUUUAACUUGAAAAACACCUGAGUUUUUUUUACUACAAACACAAAAAUAUAAAAAUAUUCCUUGAAAUUGGAUUUUUCUAUCAUAUUUUCUGGAUUAUCUUGACGUUGUUCUGGACAAAUUAACUUCCCCAUAUUUCAACUUUCAGAUUUUGUUUGGUGUAAAUUGGUUAAAGAAGCAGCAUGAAUACAACAUAAAUUUUUGUUUUGACGUAACAAUAGAUGAGUCUUCUUUAUUUGUGAUUCUCCGAGAGAAAAUAGAUCUCACUUGCAUGGAGACGAAGUAUUUUAGAGAGCUUUUGGUCAAAAUUGUCCUGAGCGCAGCAGCUGAAUUAACUUGUCUACGGACAAGAAUGGGCUGGAGGGUGUGAGGUUGCGUUUCAAUACGAUAAGUUUGAGUCUUGAAGAAACCAGGUCAAAAAAGAUAGUUUUCUCUCAAAAUUAAAUUUAUCAACAGCAAUUUCAAACCUAGAAACUUUGGUUGAACUCAGGUUUUGUUUGAAAUUUUGAGGUAUUUUUUUUUUGCCAAAAUGUUUUACAGAAUAUUCCUAUGACCUGUCUUGAUUUUAGUUUUUCGGCAGUGAGGUCCAUUCCCCUUCGACGAUCACAAAUAAUUUUGAAUUACUCUUAAUCUCGAAUUUCUUUCUGCCAUCUGAAAAUCGAGGGAAGCUCCUCUAUAGUUCCUCACCUUUGCAUUAUUCAGGAGCUUCAAAGAAGUUGAACGUCUAAAGAUCGUGAUUAAGAAUCGCAACAAACAUUCAAAGAAAAUUUCAGGUUUCUCUUUCUGAUUGAAAAGGACGGCUAGGGUUGCUAUUAAAGCCUUCUGGAAAACUGAAUUCUCCGCUUGUUCGACUGCAACAUCGAGCAGGCCAAAGAGCAUACGGAAGGAUACUAAUCCAGGAAUCAAAAGACACUCUGAAAACUCUGCCCACAACUCCGCCAUCAUAUUUGUUGUGGUGUCAUCUUGGAAGGGUACCAUGUGUUUUUUGAUAAAGUGAAGGAGAGAGAGAUCCAUAGUCUUUCUUGUCUCUUGGUCAACUAGUUCUUCGAGCAAUUUCUUCUCGGAGAGCAGUUUCAUGAUGCGAAAACUAGAUGUGAAAGACUGCAAGAGAGAAAUAAUGAGAUUGUAAGAUUCAGCUUUGAACAAAAUCUUUUACAGCCUUGAUAAGUAAAAAUUCUUGAAUGAGGGACACUUUGCAAGUAUUUCUCUUUUAACACUAAUGAUUAACAUCUUGCGCUGGCAUGUUAACCAAAACUAUCAACAAAUUUUUAAAAAAUCGGCGCUCCCUCUGAUUUCUGCCUGACAUCUUACAGUGUUAAACUCACUCCCUCCCCUUGUCAUGCCAG
rnacentral:lncRNA from 1 species